CUGCAAGACAUCCACACUCACGAAGACCCCCUCUUUCCAAAGUGUGAACAUCCAGAAAAAAGCAGCACAGACCCGAGCAAGUGGUUGCAGCCAGCUUCUAAACCACUUUACAAAUUGGAUAAAACAUUAAUGAACAAAAGGGUCCUGAAGGAUGUCGAGAAGUUGAGUCCCCAUCAUCAGACUUCUUCCUUGGAGGCAUUUCACAGUGUAAUCUUACGUUUUGCCCCAAAGAACGUUGUCUUUCCUUACCUUGGAAUGCUGUGCAGGUUAUACUUGGCGGCCAUGCACUUCAAUGAGAAUGCUCACCGCACACAAGCAGUCUCAG